GACGAACGCUGGCGGCGUGCUUAACACAUGCAAGUCGAACGGAAAGGCCCUGCUUUUGUGGGGUGCUCGAGUGGCGAACGGGUGAGUAACACGUGAGUAACCUGCCCUUGACUUUGGGAUAACUUCAGGAAACUGGGGCUAAUACCGGAUAGGAGCUCCUGCUGCAUGGUGGGGGUUGGUAAGUUUCGGCGGUUGGGGAUGGACUCGCGGCUUAUCAGCUUUUUGGUGGGGUAGUGGCUUACCAAGGCUUUGACGGGUAGCCGGCCUGAGAGGGUGACCGGCCACAUUGGGACUGAGAUACGGCCCAGACUCCUACGGGAGGCAGCAGUGGGGAAUAUUGCACAAUGGGCGGAAGCCUGAUGCAGAAACGCGGCGUGCGGGAUGACGGCCUUCGGGUUGUAAACCGCUUUCGCCUGUGACGAAGCGUGAGUGACGGUAAUGGGUAAAGAAGCACCGGCUAACUACGUG
rnacentral:rRNA from 1 species